AUGAAUCAACCGUACCCGACGAUCGCGAACAGGAGUCAACGAUGUGUGCGCUACCGUCGAGGUGAGCAUCCUUGUCGCCUCAACCAAUUGAGCCUCAUCCGCCUAUCCAGGGCCUCUCCAUCACUGCAUGCAUGGCGGCUACAUGUAUUGACGUACAUGAUGUUCGAGUUCGCCGAGAACAGCGCGCUUAGCAAGUGGCUCCACAGCGACGAGGUGCUCGGAUGGGGCCAGCAUGUCCAGGUCACGCUGGACAUGGCAGGUGGACUCAACUACGUGCACAAGUAUUCCAAGAGCAGGAACAUCCUGCUCGACACAUGCUUCCACCCUAAGCUCACAAACUUCGGCCUCGCACUCGUGAUCACCGCCGAUACCGAGGACGGAGCCCUGUGGAUGACCCGACACAUAGUCGGCACGAUGCACACGCACGGCAGUGAUGGCGAGCAGCAGCGCACACGCCACAUGCACACACGUCCUCAUCUGCGAUGA
rnacentral:rRNA from 1 species